ACCAAGAUGUCCGAUAAAUUAGGUAAUAAACUGUAAAUUUAUUUAAGAAAUAAUUUCUCUUGGUA
rnacentral:tRNA from 1 species